rnacentral:rRNA from 1 species
AUUGAACGCUGGCGGCAGGCCUAACACAUGCAAGUCGAGCGGAGCGGCGGACGGGUGAGUAAUGCCUAGGAAUCGGCCUGGUAGUGGGGGAUAACGACCGGCAACGGGCGCUAAUACCGCAUACUAGCAGAUGAGCCUAGGUGGGAUUAGCUAGUUGGUGGGGUAACUGCCUACCAAGGCGAGGAUCCGUAACUGGUCUGAGAGGAUGAUUAGUCACACUGGAACGUGGAAACGGUCCAGACUCCGAAGGGAGGCAGCAGUGGGGAAUAUUGGACAAUGGGCGAAAGCCUGAUCCCGCCAUUCCGGGUGUGUGAAGAAGGUCUUCGGAUUGUAAAGCACUUGAAGUUGGGAGGCGUUACCGACAGAAUAAGCACCGGUUAACUUCGUGCCAGCAGCCGCGGUAAUUC